rnacentral:rRNA from 1 species
CCUACGGGUGGCAGCAGUGGGGAAUAUUGGGCAAUGGCCGCAAGCCUGACCCAGCAACGCCGCGUGAAGGAAGAAGGCUUUCGGGUUGUAAACUUCUUUUCUCAGGGACGAAGCAAGUGACGGUACCUGAGGAAUGAGCCACCGCUAACCACGUGCCAACACCAGCGGUAAUACGGGGGUGGCAAGCGUUAUACGGAUUUACUGGGGGUAAAGGGCGUGUAGGCGGGACUGGAAGUCAGAUGUGAAAAACACGGGCUCAACCUGUGGCCUGCAUUUGAAACUGUAGUUCUUGAGAACUGGAGAGGCAGACGGAAUUCCUAGUGUAGCGGUGAAAUGCGUAGAUAUUAGGAGGAACACCAGUGGCGAAGGCGGCCUGCUGGACAGUAACUGACGCUGAGGCGCGAAAGCGUGGGGAGCAAACAGGAUUAGAUACCCGAGUAGUC